GACGAACGCUUGCGGCGUGCUUAACACAUGCAAGUCGAACGGAAAGGCCCUGCUUUUGUGGGGUGCUCGAGUGGCGAACGGGUGAGUAACACGUGAGUAACCUGCCCUUGACUUUGGGAUAACUUCAGGAAACUGGGGCUAAUACCGGAUAGGAGCUCCUGCUGCAUGGUGGGGGUUGGAAAGUUUCGGCGGUUGGGGAUGGACUCGUGGCUUAUCAGCUUGUUGGUGGGGUAGUGGCUUACCAAGGCUUUGACGGGUAGCCGGCCUGAGAGGGUGACCGGCCACAUUGGGACUGAGAUACGGCCCAGACUCCUACGGGAGGCAGCAGUGGGGAAUAUUGCACAAUGGGCGGAAGCCUGAUGCAGCAACGCCGCGUGCGGGAUGACGGCCUUCGGGUUGUAAACCGCUUUCGCCUGUGACGAAGCGUGAGUGACGGUAAUGGGUAAAGAAGCACCGGCUAACUACGUGCCAGCAGCCGCGGUGAUACGUAGGGUGCGAGCGUUGUCCGGAUUUAUUGGGCGUAAAGGGCUCGUAGGUGGUUGAUCGCGUCGGAAGUGUAAUCUUGGGGCUUAACCCUGAGCGUGCUUUCGAUACGGGUUGACUUGAGGAAGGUAGGGGAGAAUGGAAUUCCUGGUGGAGCGGUGGAAUGCGCAGAUAUCAGGAGGAACACCAGUGGCGAAGGCGGUUCUCUGGGCCUUUCCUGACGCUGAGGAGCGAAAGCGUGGGGAGCGAACAGGCUUAGAUACCCUGGUAGUCCACGCUGUAAACGGUGGGUACUAGGUGUGGGGUCCAUUCCACGGGUUCCGUGCCGUAGCUAACGCUUUAAGUACCCCGCCUGGGGAGUACGGCCGCAAGGCUAAAACUCAAAGGAAUUGACGGGGCCCCGCACAAGCGGCGGAGCAUGCGGAUUAAUUCGAUGCAACGCGUAGAACCUUACCUGGGUUUGACAUGGAUCGGGAGUGCUCAGAGAUGGGUGUGCCUCUUUUGGGGUCGGUUCACAGGUGGUGCAUGGCUGUCGUCAGCUCGUGUCGUGAGAUGUUGGGUUAAGUCCCGCAACGAGCGCAACCCUUGUUCACUGUUGCCAGCACGUUAUGGUGGGGACUCAGUGGAGACCGCCGGGGUCAACUCGGAGGAAGGUGGGGAUGACGUCAAGUCAUCAUGCCCCUUAUGUCCAGGGCUUCACGCAUGCUACAAUGGCUGGUACAGAGAGUGGCGAGCCUGUGAGGGUGAGCGAAUCUCGGAAAGCCGGUCUCAGUUCGGAUUGGGGUCUGCAACUCGACCUCAUGAAGUCGGAGUCGCUAGUAAUCGCAGAUCAGCAACGCUGCGGUGAAUACGUUCCCGGG
rnacentral:rRNA from 1 species